rnacentral:lncRNA from 1 species
GUGUGCCCUAAGUGACUGUUCCAUUACGGCGAGGAAGAAAUGUUUGCCUUCCUAAGCAUUCAUCCAACUCGCUGCUGCCGAUUGUGUGGGGCCGGAGGAGAGUGCCUGCUCACGAUCGGAAAGCAGCUCCUCUCCGUGUCCUGUGCUGGUGACUUCAGAGAGUGCAUUGUCGUGUAUGGACACCACACCGACCACUCUGUAACCCUCACCCUUCGCCCAGGCCCCUCCCUGCCUGCUCUGGCUGUGCACAGCUACCCCAGAUCCUCGCCCUGCUGUUUGUGGCCCCCACACUUUGAUUUCCCCUCGUGUCUUCACUUUCCACACUUGUACAUCCCGAAAGUUUCCAAGUCCUAUGGAUUCUGCUUCUGUUAUUUCUAAUUCAAAGGUUCUGGGCUGUGCCUUCCAACUGGAUAAAGCUGACCCUGGAAUUGGCACCUGGUGGGUGAGCAAUCAGGGUCCGUUGAAUGAAAAAUGGCCUCCACCUUAAUCAAGGUUUCAGCUCCAAAAAUAAUCCUACGUGUAUCUCUGCCCACUACUGCAUUAUCCUCCAUGACAGUCGGCUUGGAUCACAUUAUUUUAAUGUUCAGCACCUAGCUUUUUCCUGAAUCCAAUGUAAAGUACUCUUUUCUUUUUCUUUUGGCACCAGGGAUCGAACUCAGGACCUUGCGCUUGUGAGGCAGACUCAGUGCCACUGAGCUAAAUCCCUGAUCCCCAAACUACUCUUUUUAAAUACACCCCAACUUAUUUUUCCUCAGUACUCCUUCACAAACUCCUAAAUACCCUAUGCUCAACACAAAACAUACAGUUCCCAAAGGAAGAUCUUCCAGCCUACACUUACCCAACUUUGUGAUGGGAAGAAAGCCACAGGGUAGGCUGGGAAGCAGGCUCUGAAGUUUGAAUUCAGUCUGUUCUGGGCUGGUGAUAGGUGGUGAUGCUUCUUCCCAGUCUGGACAGCAGCAGUGAGUCAUUUCAGCAGGAGAAACGCAGAAACUGUAGGUGGCACCGUGCGGGCAGUGUGUUUUGGAUAUUGUCAUUCAGAAAGUUAACUGAGAUAGUCAAUGCUUAAUUAUAAAAUGGGCUUUGAGUUGGGUGGUGCUGCUUAACUGUAUGUAAGGAAGGCAGGCCAGGCACAGCUGUGAUGUCCAGUAGGUGAAGAAUAGUAAAUACAUUUUUGAUUUUUUCUAUUUAUGAUGGGUUUUAGCCUCAGUAGAAAUGCAGCAGCACCUGUAUUAUUUAUUCAUUUUGGUCUCUGCCUCAUAGCUUAGUUUAUCUUCAUUUCUUCAACCGUAAUGCUUACUCUUGUUUAUUCAGCAGUAUUGGGGAUUGCACUUGGGGUCUUUGCACUGAGCUACACACCCCGUCUUUUCCCUUCUUUCCUGAGUCAAGGUGUCGCUAAACUGCAGAUUUUCCUGGGUUGAUCUCCUGAUUGUGAUUGUCCUGCCUCAGCCUCCUAGAGUGUAUCCGGCUUCACUCAUCUUUUAAAAGUGAAUUUUUACUGGGCUUUUAAGGCACAUUUCAAAUGCUGCCCCGCCCAUGGAGCUACAGUAUUUGGGUUCUGUAUGUCUUUUUCAGCUAAGCUGGAUGUUCUUCCCUUUUCAGGGAAUUUAUGGGAUUCCUACCAGCAGGUACCUGGUCGGGAGAUGGGAGCUAAACUUCCUUUUUUUGUGCCUGGACCCUCAAUGUCUUACACAUAGUAGGCACAUAGAGUACUUUCAUUAAAUUACAUUCAUGUUUGUUUUUUCCUCAGGGCUGCCGGGAUGUUUCUUUCUCUUUUGAGUCCAGGUUGAUGCUCCUCACUGUGGGGCGUGUGUCUGUGUGAGUAGCCCGCUUAGCUCCUUCAGUGAGGAGACAUACGUUGUUUAGUCCUUAUUUUAAACUACUUUUCAGAAUGGGAGAACAACGCCUUCAUUUUGGAUCCAUGUGAUGCACUUUGAAUUUGCUCAGCUUUAGUUUGUGCUGCCCCUCAUUCUGUGUGGAAAUUAGUUCCACCGAAGUGCCACUGAACUCAGAGCUGCCUGCAACUUGAGAUGCAAACUCCAACACUGUGGGCCACUUUUGAGAAGCAUGUGGUCAUUCGGGAAACAAAGACACUCCUGUUUCCUCUUCUCAAUAACAAUUAAGACAUCAGAUUAAUAGAAUCUUUAAAUUCUUGAAUGAUGCUUGCAGAACAGUUUGUGUUUGCUUUAACACAAAGGAAUACUUUCUGAAACCUAAAGGUCACCCAAGAAAUAAGAGAGAGACAAUUUAGGAAUGGUGCAUGCUGGUAGAGUUUUGCAGAAUGGCAUGUGUUCUUUACAGUGUGUUUCUGGCUUUGGAGCCACUUGGCAUGGGAGUACACUGUGAUUUACUGCAGACAGGCAUUCCUGGGCAAGGAGUCCCCUGCAUGGAAGGGACAUGCCAUCAGGAGAAGGAGAGGACACUGGGGGUGGGAUGGGGGAAGAAGACUUCUCAGUUCCCACUCUAGCAUUUACUUAAUGAGUGUAAUGUUCUUGCUAAUGGGAUUUAACCACAAUACCUGUCUCUAACCUUGUCACCGAAAAGGUAGUCUACAUGCCCCUCUUUUCAAUGCUGUCUGGGUGGAAACUGUGCCCAAGUCUGUUCUCCCAAUUUUCUAAGUGGUAAUCCUAGAAUUAUCUUGGCUCAGAAAUAAAUGAAGAACUCAUGUACAGGAGUCAGAUUUCCCUACAGGGGUUGUAACUGAAACAAGGAUUAAGUACCAGUGUACAAAACCUUUCAAGCAAUGGACAGCAUGUCAAUUGCGGAACACUCUAUCGUAGAAGGGCCCUUAGCGCUUCUCUUUUAUAAAGCCUGAGAUCAGAUUUUGGUGGAGAAUUAAAAGCAGGGCAAUUUAGCUCCUUUAAAGGGUUGCUGGUUUGGGAGGACCCAGCUAUUUUUAGCUCUGUUGCUGUCUGUCCAGGAAGCUAAAACAGCUAGUCAAUUAAAUGGUAAACAGUGUGUGUGUGUGUGUGUGUGUGUGUGUGUGCAAGGUGUUGUGUAGGAGUAGGGCAGGGAGCUGGGGAGAUAAAAUAGGCCUCAGAAAAGAGUCUACCCAGGGCAAGAACUUUGCAAAGAGUUGCACAGUGUCAUGCAGAUAAAGCAUCCACUGGUGGCCACCUGUUACACAGUGCACACGUUUAUUUGAUGUUGCGCAGCAGAUGGAAUGGAAUGACACUAAGCCAGCUGAUCACUCAUGCUCAGGCAUCCAUUGAGUGAUGGUCACAAACUCUCUGCCAUUUACUGACUAUCUGCUAUACACCUAGCAUGGCGCUUUACUUCCGGUGUGCCAUUGGAUGUUGACAGCUGCAGCCUGAGAAGCCGAUACAGAGACAUUUUUGCCCAAGAUUACCUACCUGAUAGGUGCCUGAACUGGAUUAGAAUCUAGUUUUCUUUCCAACUCUGCUCUAGUCACUUCUGUAGCCUGCCUCCCACACUGGUCCCAGCUGCACUGACACUAUGUGAUCUGAAAUCGGUGUGUGAGGGCACUUUGGCCUUCCUGGAGAAAGGCAUGGAGCACACACAGGCCCGAUAUGCACACACAGAAAUGUGUAUAUACUGAACCUACAUUUAAAUCCACAUUUUAAGUGUGCCAGUAUCCUUAAAAAGAAAUAAUGAGGGACUCUCAUUUACAUUUUGCUUUCCAGUUUUCCUGGAACUGUAAUUUGUACUCCUCUUUUUUAAAAAAAAUCCCCUUUACCUUCUUUUAUUUAUUAUGAUCCCUGGAGAAUGUGUCCUCUGCUCAUGGCCUAGAUAAGAGAUCAUGGGUAUGGAGCAGAGGUCAGCAAGAUAGACGUAUGUUAGAAAAAAAAAAGAAAAUAGCAGGGUGGAACCACAUGGCUCUUAGUGGUCAUUUUUUCCCCUCAUGCUGUGUAGCAAACCUGAGGCAUGCUCAAUUUGGCAUCUUUGAAUUUAAACCAUGGAUAAACCAAAUAGAUCACAAACUAUGAUUCCAAAUAGAAACUGUGGAUUUAUCCGAAGGUAUAUUAUAUGAUCUCAUCCAAACAUAAAAUUCAUAUUCUAAGAGUGGUGUGUAAAAUUCCCCGAGAUUUUAGUGCAAGAUAAUUUUCCCUUUUCAUGUGCCUUUCCUCAUAUUGAGAUAGGUGGAAAUCUUUUAAGAUUUUAAUUAACCUUCGUCCUAAUGAAAAACCAACUACCAAUCUAUAGAUGGAAGGAUAUUUCCUUGGACAAUGUAGCCGUUAGUGUAAGGUCUUGUUGAAUCUCUUUCAACAAGUGUUUGGAAAAAAUCAAAUUUAGAAAUAAACAUUCAUAUCUAGAGGGCCUAUCGGGGUUUCCCUCCAAGCAGACAAAGGAAUACUUUCAGUCUUAUUAUAUGUCUUUGGACAAGCUCAGCUCUCAGGGCCUGCUGAGCUCUAAUAUCUUACGAAUCACUAACAGUCAAACUUCUUUCAUUUUGAGGCCCAUUCCUGGAGGGAUAAAGAUAAUGUGGUCAAGGAUGCAACAAUCAGCUGUUGGACUCAGAUGUGGCUGUAGAUAUAAAACAGAGUAUCUCUUCCUUUCCAGAUCAAAGGGAGAGAGUCCUUAGAAUGCUCAAGUUCGAAGUAGACAAAGAGGAGAAGGAAUAUCUAGCAUCAAAAUAGUGGCAAAUAUAAAAAUCUAGGCUUAUUACUGAGACCUAGGAAACAAUUCUCAAGGAAUGUUCCUGCUGCCAGUUACCUGAGAUUUUUUAAUUACAGGCAAUUCAUGAUUACCUGUGAAAGGAGGGAUGGAGAGGAGAACUCAAACAAUGAAUGUUGCAAAAUCAUACAAAUUGGCUUGGGAAUAUUCUGCAUGAUUUCUCCCUCUUAGAAAUUUGCCUUCCUAAUUGUAUUUUGCUUAAUCCAAUAUUAAAAAUUAGUUGGUUUCCCCUGAGAAGCUCUGGAGUUAAACUGCAGAGGGAAUUAGUUUCAGGAGCAUGCCACUUGGAACGUGGUGGAUGAAACGUAUUCGGGCCUUAAUGGACCAAAAGCUCCCACAGAUAUUUUAAUCUUAAAGGAAAGUGUCAUCUUGAGCACCUUACUAGUCUUCUCAUGUUGCCUAAAAGGCUGUAAACAAGUAUUUGUGAUCGUUAUGUAGGUGAGAUUAUUUCUACCUAGAUUUGUGCAUUUUUACCUGGAGAAUGUUCCAUUCUCGUCUCUCCCCUCCUUGGUAGCUGUAGUAAAUAAUAAACCAUCUAUCAGACUUAAGCAUAGGGCCUUAAUGGGGCCAGAAAUUUUGUUGAAUAAAUGAGAACAUUACUUAAGGCAGGUCUGGGUCUCAUUGUGUGACACCCAAGCAAUCCAUGAGGUGAUGUUUGUGAUUUAGGAAUCCGAACCCUUAGGCUAUAGAGUUGUUUUCUUUGGGGUUCCAGACUAAGUUCCCUUUGCUUCCUUCCCAACUUCCUUAAUUCUUUCCUUUCUCCCUCCCUGCCCCAUUUUUUAUAUUUGCCUUGUACCAUAUUGAAAUUAUUUCAUAUUGUAAUGUUCCGUCAGUAUAUACAAAUUCAAAAGUAGACGUACAUCCCUUCAGCUUAUAGUGCAUCUACAACUGAAAAUCCAAAACAAAUUUGCACACUGAAUUCCAACAAAAUGACAAAUGCCGCACUCAGAUGAACAAUACUGAUUUGACGUGAUGAACGACAGUGAGCUAACAUUAAGUGCUCACUUGUGGCAGUGGUGGUGGACCGACUGGUAGGCUGGUGAUGCUUUAAUUUUAUCAUACCUUUCUGUGUUUGUGAUGUAGAAGACAGUUCUAACAUCUUACUUAAAUCCCCUAGAAAGCUUUGGUCCACAUAAGUGUGCUGAUAGAUCAUGUAGCCUCACGAAUCCAUAAUCCAUUUUUAGGUUCACAAUCAGGUAUUGUGGGUCCUGGUGAGUAUGUAGUUUUGGGGAGUAUUUUAAAUAAAAAGUUAAAAGGUAAUGAAAGCAGAAUAAGUGGGGUUCCUCUCAGGCCCUUGGAAAGAAUCUGUACAGAGCAGUGCUGAACAUCAGGCAUUCUUAGCUUCAAAUCCAUCUUCCAAAUCCAUCUCGUUCAUGGGUCAAGCACUUCUCUACUUUCCUUUUAUUACCAAUAAAAAUGUCCAACCGGGUAACAAUGAGGAGUUGUAUUUUGUUUUCAUUUUAAGGAUAUAGUUUUGCAUUAUACAUUGGUACUUUUUAAAGGUAAUUCUUAAAAUAAAAACAGAAAAUUAGAUAUGGUUAUUUGUAGCACAGAUGGUUGCACAAUCUUUUUAUGUAAACUAUUUCUCCUAUGAUGGAUUCCUACAAGGAAACCCUGGGAGAAAGUUUUGGGGCUUGCCUUUUUUUUUCAGCAUUCGUUUAAUUUACAGAGGUCAUGGAAAUAGAGAGGUCAGCAUUUCUCAAGAACAGCUUUUCCCAACCUGCCUGGCUUCUCGGAGCUUGAUCUGGGGGCUCACACAGCCCUUGUCAUUGUCUGGCACCUCGCCUGGUAACAUGGUUGUGAGCCCUGUCAGAAGACAGGGCCAAAGUGUGCCUCAGGUCAGCAUUUCUCUGGGGACCGAGGGGGCAGGCAGAACCCAGAGGUCAGAUCUGCCUUGGGGAUAACAUUGCAGAGUCCAGUGGUUGCAAUCAGGUGUGUUAUAAGUCAAAGCCACAUGGCAAACAGCAGGCACAGGGAAUGCUCAAAGGUCAGAUGGGCAACACAAGCCAGGGUCAGGAAGAACUUGGAGCUACAAUACCAGUUGGCAAGCAAAGCAGUCAUAAAAACCAUGAUCAGGCACAUUAUGCCUGUUGGACCUAAAUUCUUUCUGCCUACGAGACUGCUGUGCUCAGAGACAUUGGCUCUGGUACCAUGUGAGAGCACCUGGUAGACUGGAGAAUAAACUAUUAUACUCAAGAUCUAACCUGCCCUCUCAGGUUCUCUUCUCUCUAAGACAGGACAGUGAUGUCUCCACUGAAGUGACCUCCAUCGUACAGGUAUCCAGGAUACAUGCUCUGGGUGGAGCUUAGUUCUAAGAGAAUGUUUAUCUUGGAACCUUCUAAGGCUUUUCAUCAAAUAGUCCUAGCUUUCUUACUCCUUGCUUUAUGGGGUUGUUGUGAAUGGGUUUUGUAAAUAAUAAAGGACUACCACAUACCAGAUGACUACAAUCCUUUCUUUCCAGUGGGGAUUCUGAUGUUUAUAUUACCUGAAAGUUGUUUUCAAGUGAGGUUCUCAGCUAAUAAAUAUUUUUUUGGGUUUUCUUUCUAUUUUUUUUUUCCUUGAUUGAGCCUCAUCUUUUUGGUGACCAAUAAUUUAUUGGAAAUUUUAUCUGAGAAAAAUGUUUGCAGAGAUGGAGAGUUUCCCAGAUUCAAAAGAGAUUUUUCUUCUAAAACUCAGAGCUGGUAGAGCUACAAGACCAGCCUCUUUGUCUAAUCAAUCAGGUUUUUAACACAAUACACCCAGCUGAUGCUUGGGUAGAAUACAAAUUCCCAGUCAUGUGAGCUCUUAUCAGUUAUAAUACUGACAAAGAAUUAGCCAGUCUCUUUUGGUAAAAUGAUAGUUGCGGGCGCCUUAAUUUUUCUAGAAAUAUUUGGGGGAUUUGAAAGCUUAAGAAGUAAACAGGUUGUUUUGCUCAGGAAACCUUCUCUGAAAGACUGAGCAGGGUUCAUCUGAUGACAUUAGCUUUGCAAGUAAUUUCCAUGAUGUCAAGGGCACACUGGAGAUUAAAGAGGGAUUAAGACCUCCUUGCACAGUUAUGGCAUUGCAGUAAAUGGACUGGACUUGGCAGGCUGCAGCUCCGGUCGGCAACUUUCCAACACCUAAUCAUACACAAUAUAGGUUUGUGGUGUUACCUGGGCUAUUUUCACAGAGGCCAAGAAAUGUUUAACAGAUAAGGUGGGAGGAGAAAGAGGCUGGGAAGGAGGGUGGACCUGAGAAGAGCAGUUUAAGACACACCUGCCACCAUCAAGAGCUGCCGAAGAAGAUCAAGACAUUAAGGAAAAACAAUUUUUUUCAUAAUGUUUCAAAACAUGAGUUUCCAUCCUUUUUCCACUCCCAAAUUCUCCAGAUAUGCCUCUCUCUUAAAAGCUUUUUAUCCUUCAUGUUAUUAUCAAUUUCUUCAGCAAAAGGAGGCAGGUUUGUCCAGGAACUUCAUGGAAUAAAAAUGAGUUUAUGUUUUAAAACGGAAACAGCUGGAUGGCCAAAGCCAGGCAGGGAGGCAGCUCUGGUUUCAUCAGCAAAGGGAAACUCAAGGGCCUGGAGAGAACAACUGGGCUGGCAGCCAUGGCGGGGAGAAGAAAAGGAAACACACGAUCAUAAAGAACUAAUCAUGAUGAAAAAUGAAAAGCGAGAAAGAGCCAAGAACAACAAGCAAUAAAUAGAUUUGGAAAGGGGAAAAGACCAAAGGAAUGCAAAACCAUACUCAGGAAAGGGGCAGCAAGAUCAUGUGCGUUUCAUUGAAAAAUGUUUAAUAAUUCUUAAAAUCAUUAAAGAGUCCUACAGAAAUGUUUGGAGAUAACUUGUCAGACCUGAGAUUUAAUUCUUUGUGUUAUUUCAAAGCUGAUUUCAGUGCAUGAAAAGAAACAAAGUAAGAAAGGAAGAAAGGAAGAAAAGGAAAGGAAGAAAGAAGGAAAGAAAGAGAAUCAAAUGGACCUAGAGGGAGGAAUCUAAUGUAUAAUGUGCCAGAAUGCUUGGAUUUUUUUCUUUCUGCUUUUAUUUUUUUUUAACUUUUAAUUUCAGCCCGAUGGUAGGGAAAGUAAGCAAUUAGUUUGACUCUGUAGGUUCAAAGACUACAUCCAGGGCUGGGGAUUUAGCUCAGUGGUUUUGCCUCCUGCUGCGCAAGUGCAAAGACCCGAGUUCGAUCUCCGGUACCAAAAAAAAAAGGACUACAUCCAAAGUGAUAAAUCCUGAGUUUCUAAGAGUAAUUCAUACAUUCCUAGCUUUAAUUAGAAAUAGCAUGUACAUUUUUCUCUAUGCAGUAAUUGUCUGACAUUCAUGUGUUUGUCUCAAGGGACUGACAGUUCUGACUCACAGGUAGAUCUCUAAAUAUUUUCAGAUGAAAUUAACAUGGAUUUAAGGAGGACUUAAGAAGAAAACCAGAUCCUAGUUUGUUGUCCCUCUUGAAGUGUGUUCGACAUGAUAAAAUAUACAAACAUGGCCAAUUGUCCAGGCUAUCCUCGAGAUGGGAUUUUUAAUAAAAACUAUUUGAAGUUUUACAGCAGUUAUAGAUAAAAUCUUACCACAGAAAUGGUGCUGUCUUUUUAUAGGGGGGAUACUAAUUAUUAGCUUUUUUAAAAAAAUUAGUUUUUAAUAGCAGCAUUCGUUUAAAGAGAGAAAAAAAUGCUUAUGUUACCUUCUGGAAUGUACAUUCAUCUUGUUAAUGACACUGUAGUUCAUGGUUGGCAAAACAGGACUUCUGAAUCAACCUGUCUUUUUCUUUCCGUUUGGUAGUUACACUUGAGAAAGAAAGCCAGCCCACUAAAGAUACAUGAAAAGUGCAUGAAGACAGGAUAAAGGAUUUCCUAUGAUUUUAUGUUGUUCUUAAUUAGGAAGCAUAUUGGCAACAAAUGCUAACAUGUGUUAAGAUGUUUAGUUGUAGCCAAAUAAAUGUUUUCUAUUACAACUCUGAAUUCCAUGCCUACUAGGAAACCAUGCUGUUCUGUGCAUGGCUUACAAAAUCCCUUUACAAAUCAUCUCAAGGACCAAUUUUCUGUUGGCUCACAGAGCAAAACUACUUUCGCCACAUGUUCUCCUGAAGGGUCAUGGGCAACUCCAAGCGGAAGUCAAAGACAAGAGGAACAUGAUCUCCGAUGUUGGAACUGCACUGCUUUGUGGUAAUGAAUGGUCCUUCAUGAGCAUACUCAAUGUGAGCCCAGUCUCAGAAGGGGGUGUCCAGAAGCUAGGGAGCAGCACCCUCUCAUCUGUGUUUGUUUUUAUCUCAGUGGAGGAGAAGCCAAGUGAAGAAGAAUUUCCUAUAACUUCUGCUAGCAGUGUAUCACAAAAUGCUUCAUCUCCGAUGAACAAGAGUAGGCACCAAGCUGAGUAACAAGGCUAGAGAGGAUCCUUAUCUUGAUCAUUGCGUAUUUUUAAAGAGCAAACAUUUAUUUUCUACUUCUAAUGUCAGAAGUUGAUUGAAAAAGAACAAAAAGUGAAUGGUGGUGAAGUUGUUUCCUAAAAUUUAAUAUUAGGGCACCUUCUCUAUUCAGGAUCUUAUGUUGCAAGCUAACUGUACAACUGUCAUGCUUUUGGGGGGUAACUGGUGCAUGGAUUAUUCUAUCUGUGUCUUAGAAACUUUAAGAGAAAAGAUUUCCAUCAUGGUAUUUUCUACUGCAUUGCACAGAAAUUUUACAUACCCUCAUUCAUUUACACAGCUGAAAUGACACAGGAGAUAGCCAGCAUCUGUCCAUUGGUUGGAAAGCACUCUAGUUUUUUGAUAUCAAUAAGUCAAUGGAAUCCAUGACUUACAGCAAUCUUGCGGUAUUCAUUCAAUAUGCUAUGACCAUGUUACCUAAAAGCUUCAUCUCUGCUCCCUGCAAUAUUCUUCCUCCAAUUUUUGGCUGGUGUGUUCUCUCCCUUCUUCAUGCCUUUUUUCAAUUGUCCCAAUUCCUGAAGCUUCUCCUCAUGUCUCAAGUAUUCUCUUUCCCUGUGUGCAAUUAUUUUGUUUUCUUCAUUAAUUUAGUUCCUCUCUCCUCUUCUAGGCUAUACAUUUCAUGAGGAAAGAAAGGCAUUUUGGUGUCAUUCUGGUGCCUAAGAACCUAAGUAGGAGAUGUGUAAUAAAUAAUUUGUUCACUGAAUUAACAGGCCCAUAAUAUUUUUGUUAUUCCUCUCACAUCCAUGGGCAACAUGUUCAAAACCUUGAAAAUUAUUAAAUCAUUUCUCUGCAUUGCUAUGUAAAACUUCUAAUAUUCCUAAUAAGACUGACCAUGCUUAUGAAAUCUUUUUUCCUUGGCCCACUGAGUAUAUGGACCACGAAAUAUUUAACAAAAAAGUGAGACUGUACAAAGAAGCACUAGGUUAGUGAAAGAUGAUUUUUUUUUUUUAGUGCUUUUAGGUGGUGACCUCUUAACAAUGUAUCAGAUCUUUUGUAAACCGUGAAAUGAAAUGACUGGCUAUCGGAACUAAAUUUGAAGAGAAAAACUGUCAUCUUCAAAGCAGUAAAAUCUCUAUAUAACCAUGUAAACUAAUUACUAGGUUAAGUAAAAUCACUGAAAUAUAUCAGGCCUUUCUCAUGUCUGCAGGGCAGACAUAAUACAGUAAAUUUCUAAUAGUCAGCCUGGGAAGGCGCUGUAAUGGUUAGAGGAUGUCAUGGUAAUAGUCUCAGUUUUGGUUGGGAGACUUACAAAGAGAAUAUUGGUUGUACAUAAACUGUAGAAUCUACUUGAAUAUUUCUUUUUCAUUUCUCCCUAUCAAAGAGUGGAAGAUAUUUUGUGUAUAAUGUUUUUUUUUAAUUUUAGAUUAUUUGGUAUAUUGUAUUUUUUCAUGUGGGUAACAAAAAUACGUGAGCAAGAGCAAAACCUACCAGAAGCCUCAAAAACAUAGGUACCAUGGAAGACCUCAUGAUUCUUUCAAUUAUUAAAAAGCACUAUUUUAAGAAGACAUGUUAGUAAUCCACAGUAAGUCAGAAGUAUUGGAUCAACACAUUGGAACAUUGAGUAUUUAUUUAGUUUUUGGUGCUGGGGCUGGAACCUAGGGUCUCACAUGUGGCAGGUAAAUAUUCUACAACUGAGCUGUACCCCUAGUUCUGAAUGUUUGUUUUAUUAGGUCAUUUUAUAUACAUAUAUAUUUAAAUUUGGGACAUUGUUUUCUAAAGUCUCAAACUACUCUUAUACUCAACCCCGAAGACAACCCAGCUCACCACUCUGGAUUACGACUAACUGUUUGCGUAUAUGUUUUUCCCAAGAAAUUAUGCACCUUGAAGAAAAAGACUUCAUUUUUUUUUGCUUCACAAUAUUUCCCAUGACCCAGUGCAUGGAAUGGAUAAAUUACCCUUAGCAGAGGCUCAUCAGCGAUUCCUGACUUCCCUGCUAACUUUUCCUAGAGAUGUGAAUUAAAGAUAGAAAUUUGUUCAGACCAUUGAUGGUCCUCAGAAAUACAAUCUUAAAAAGUUGAUAUCUAUCCGGUCUCAAUUCAUGGAGAGCGGUGGGAACCAGACCUCUGAAAAGUGGUUGAGUAUUGGGCUACAAGCUUAGGGGAUAGUCCAUGAGGAAUAAAACCAAAAACAUACAUUAACAUUUAUUUGCCCAAACGGCUGGUGCCUUAAAAGCUGGUGCCCUCCCCCAUUCCAAUUAACAUGGAGGGAAAUAUUCCAGCUGCUGGGAUCUUUCCUCUGCAUGCGAACCUGCCGUUGUUGCCUGGGUAGCCUGUGUGUCUCUUUGGAAUUGAUAAUGAGGUUCAAGAGAGAGAGGUAUGGCCUGUACUAAGCAUGUCACCCCUAUUUAGCACCUUUGCCAGGAUGGCAGCCACUAUUGUUUUAUUAUGUCCCUGAUCAGCUGGCACUAUUCAUAAAGUAAUCACUGCCAUUAACACAUCACGCCUCAAGCCAUCUGCUGCAGCAUCACGUACACCAAGCUGUUGGUUGCAAGCAAAGCAGGUGUCAUCUAAGGAUAGUGGCACGGUAAAGGUGGGAAGUCAUCAUAGUGAAAGAAGAUAUGUUCUAUCAAAUAAUUCCAUAUUUUGAUACAUUAUAGUAUAAUAGGCCAUGGUUAUUUUGCCCAACUUGCAGAUGGCUUAAAUAAGAUAAUUCAAGUUUGAAAUAUUUUAUUUUCAACACUGGUCAGUUAUGGAGCCAAAAAUGUCCUUGAAUACCUUGAUGAUAGCAUCUUGAUCACAAGUGGACUAUUGCAUUAAUUUGCAGUAAAGUUUAGAGCAUUCUUACAGAAGCCUUCCUCUGAUCAAUCAACUCUUCAAGUGACAAACAUUUACUGAGCAUGUAGUAAGUGACACUGAUACCUGUCUUGCUCAAAUUGUAAAAGUACUAGUUUAAAACAUGAUCUGGUAAUGUAUAUGGUAGAGACUCCAUGUGUACUGAAUUCCCACCCUUUGUUCUGUCCCUAACACUUCUCUUGAUUUUUGAAUAAUUUUAAGUUUUUAUUACUUUCCAUAUUGAUGGCAUUUUUAUGUCCAAAACAAGUUUACAUUGGAAAAAUAUAAUGAUUAAAUGCAAUCUAUAAAAAUGGAUAAAGUAUAGGAUGAUCAGUUAUUGCCACCCUCUUCAUUAUGAAGGGGAUUUGUGAUUAUACAAUCAUGAGUGGAGUUAAAAAUUUAAUUGAAAGUGUUAAGUGAGGUUAGGGAGUGAAAUAAGUGAUCAUACUUGGUCCAAAUAGUCUUUUCCACCUGCGUGUAAAGUGGAACUGCAUUCCUUGUUUCUUUAACUAUAGAAAAUUUAUCUAUUUGCUCUGUACUCCCCCCAUAAAAAAGAAAUAAUAAAACAUUAAUGAGAGUAGCUAACUCUGCCCUCUAUUUCAAUCCCCAAGCUUUGCUCUUAUCUUGGAAGUGAGAAGUGUUGGAUGAGGGGUUGGAUCUGCCAGCCCCUCUGUUACUUUUAGCAGCAUCCUGCUCUUCACUUGCUAAGGAUAUAUGUGUCUGGCUAUGCAGGCUGUGGUCCUAGGGUCCAUGUAACACAGCACUGUUCACCAGGACACACCUGUCCACAUAUCCUCUAGGCUACUGGGUGGUCUAAGGGAUUUUUAAGGCUAAAUUUGACUUUACAUUUAGAACUUCACCUCUAUGGGUGUAUGUUAAUCACCCAUGGAAUUGGUGAAGGCUACCGGAUUCCAAAAUCUAUUGAAAGCAAAGAUAGCCAUUUUCUAUAUCAAGAUUUCUCAACUACUUUUGAACUCAACUUCCUUUUGAAAGACAAAAGAAAUGUCAAGCUCUCUUCUCAUCCCUGAAGAUUUGUGGAUCCAUCUGUUGUCACCAAAAAGACACUCUCAAGAUCUACUUUUGUAGGUGGAGUUAAGAAAAACGUUUUAAAACUUCUCUUCUUGCCUUUACACCCUGAGAAUUUGGAGUGUAGAUUUCAGAUGGGAAGUAGACUACUUUUCACUAUCAAAUACUCAAUUGAAGGCAAGAUUUAGUUAUUUUGACUUGAAGAUUGAAAUUUUGGAGUCUGGAAUGGCUACCUUUGAAAAUAUAAGUGAAGAUAAAAAGACACAAAUGAAGAAUCAAAGAACAAGCUAAUGAUUAUUGUCCUUUUCUAAGGGGACUACAUAUGCUCAAUAAAUCUGUGAUUACUGACUACCUACUGACUUACAGGGACAGGCAUGCUGAUGGUUUUGGAUACUGUAAUUUUAAGUUGACUUUGCCACAUGUGAUUUAAUACUUUGAAUACAAAGCCCCCAAAUUGUUUGCUAUUUUGUUUGGAUCAAAAUGUGUAGCUCAAAUGACUUUGUAAGACUGGCUUCUCAAACUAUCACCUGCCCUUACAUCAGGCUCAGAAAGAACACAAAGACAAAAGACUCUUAGGUCCACUUCUGAUGCAUUACCAGCUCUUGCAAAUGCUCAACCAAGAAAAUACAUAAUGGUUCCUCUUUCGUCACUUUUGUUAAAAUAUUUUUGUUGAAAGUUGGUAAAAGCUGUAGAUGAGCAAGCCUGGUCAUAGGUUUGAACCUGGCACAAACGACGAGGGCACCUGGGAGAUAUUCUCCCGCUGAACAUGUCCACAGUACAGUUUUUGCCUCAGGAGCAUGUUCACUGUGGCUCUGCAGGACCCAGUUGUGUGAUAGUGGGAGGCUGAUCGACUUAAAGCACAUUGGUAGCUUGUGAACACUUAAGACUGGAAACCUUCUUUGAUAAAUGCACAUCUGUCUUCUUUUUUUGAAGUCCUUAGGAAAAAUGUUGCCGGACAUUUUGCUGCCCGGAGGAGUCUAGACUUCCUUAAGCAUAAACCUUAAUCCUUCCUGGCUUCCUGCUACAAUUCUUCUGUUUCCUCCCCCAUCUUUUUCUGGGCAAAGCCAAUUCUUUUUCUCUACUCUUACCUGAGGGUCUCUGUUCACUUUUGAAGCCACAGACAAUGCAAGAAACAUUUAUUCGAAUACCUAGGCCCCAAAUGUUUCUGGAAAAAUAAAAGAUGUGUGACCAAGGACAUUACUUACCCUUUCAAUCUGUGAAAUGGAGACAAUCCAGAGAUAUCCCCUAAGGGGCCUAUGGGUAAUCAUAUAAUGUUUAUAACUCUAUAAAACAAUGGGAUACUUAUCCUUGCAAUUUGUAAAUAUAAAUUUAUAAAGACUAUAACAGUUUAACUUAUUAUAGUACUUAUCAACAUUGUUAUGUGAGUACCAUGCACUAGCCCAUUGUGUCACUGAAACCCCCUUACUGAUGUUGUUAAACACUCAGGCUUCCAGAACAUACUAAGUGUUCAAUAAAUAUAAUCAGUUACUAUUUAGAGUAAGAUAAAAAGGUAAUAAAAUAAAGCUGUAAUUCUUGUAUGUACACAGCAUGGAGGAGAAAGACUACACAGCAUGGCUAAAGACUUGGAGAUCUGACUUGAAUAUUUUAAAGGACGUAUCUUAAAGAUUUUUGGAUGGUUGUGUCCCCUCUAAACACAGCAGAAUGGUGUUCUUGCUGUUGUGCUGUUGGAAGGACGUGAACUUCCAGUUCCUGGGUCUGAGCUCUAUGUCUGAUUCUGCCACAUACCUGCAGCCCUGUGCCCUUAGCCUCCUUGAGGUAAAAAGCUUUGCUCCACCCAACGUCCCUGCCAUGAUGUUCUGCCUCAUCCCAGAACCAAAAGCAAUGGAGACAAGUGACUAUGGACUGGAGCCUCUGAAACUGUUUUUACUUGAAGACACCGAGAACUACAGCAUCAUUCAUUGUUGGCAUGUUACAGUAGAAAGACCACUGGGCUUGGGAGUAAGAAGAUGGAAAUCAAAGAGCCAGUUUUUUCACUUCAACAAAAUGGUGCUGAAGAAAUAGGAUAUUUCAGUGGUUCCUGAGCAUAACUUACAACAUCAGCAUGGUUGGAACUCUGUGCACACAUGCGUACACAUGGAUUACCCUCCUGAGCCUUUGGUUCAAAAGAUUGGAAAUUGAUUCCUAUUGUUUACAAGCAGCUGGUGUCAAUGACUACUGAUACAUCCAUUGAAUUCUAGUUUCUUCAUUUGUAAAACAGGAAUAGCAUUUCCUAUCCGUCAUAAACGAUUGUUGUGAAGAUUAAAUGCAACAAUAGACUUGUGGCACAGGCAUAAUGCUCAGAGGAAGCUCCCUUGUUUCUUCUUCCAGUGAGCCUUCCUUGUUGUAGCUCAGAGCUUCCCAAAGGGGAUUAGCUCCAUGGGAUGCUCUGCGGAAUGACUGUGUCUUGGGCAGUUGUAUUUGACACUUAGUCUUCCUUCCUGCUUGCUAAUGGACCAUUAGAACUUUAAGGACUCUAAAAUGAGCAGAAGAAAACGGACUGGUUAAAUCUGUUGCACUCAGUGUCCCCCAAAAAGUUAUUUUACUAUUAAACUUUUUAAAGUGGCAAUUAUUAAUUGAUGUUCAACAGAGCAUGCUUCAGGGAUCACUUCCCUCUACAAUCUCUAACUAAUGUUCUACCUUUCUAUAACCUCUCUCAGGGAAUUUACUGCUUGUUUUGAUCUGAUUAAGACCCAGGCUUUCUAAUCAUCCCGGACAAUAUCUGCUCUUUUUCUGAACUACUAAUUUCAGUGGACACUCAUAUUAGUGAUGAUUCUAUUUAACUUUAACUUCCUGAGAUUAUGAAGGUAGAACACAAAUUAUCUUGGAAGAAAUUAAACCAACAAUUUAGAAAUAAAAUUAAUAACUAAACAGUAAAAAUUCACAAGUACAAGGGUGUUAAAUAAAAAAAGAGAACAUUAUAUUUUGAGAGAGCAUAACUUACUCUUGCACCCAGUUUGAUGGGAUAAAUUUAAAAGUACAAGUUUGUCUGAGAGCUAAAUUAAUCCAAUAGUCAGAAAUACCUUGAUAAAAACUUAUAAAUGAACUAAAAAUAGUUAAAUGAGAUUGCUGCUGGAGGAUAACAACAUUGAAGUUGCCAAUCUAAGAGCUAUUGAGAAGCAGAAUAUAGUUACGUAGGUUUUUGGGGUGACAUAAUUUGCCUGGUCUGUAUUUUUAAAGGAAGGUGGACUAUUUUGUUUCUAUACAUCCUCCUGGAACUGAGAAUGUAUAUCUUUAGUUGAGGUGUGUCUAUAAAAUAAUGUCUUACUUAUUCAGGCCUAAGUGGAAGAGGGUACACCUGUAUGGAUGCAUGGCUUGAGGCGAAUGAGUGAACAAGAUAGUUGGAUUCAGGGUAUAAAGUUCAAAGCCAGGUCAGGAAGAGUUAGCAUUAAGACUUUGCUUCUUCAGAUAACUACUCAAUAUGUAUAUUUUUUGCAAGCAUCUUGCUUUUGCAGGUCUGCUAUGAAAAUCUCAGAAGAACAGCUUUGCUUGUGAGCUCUCCCACAUUUCUACUCUGGUCCUGGCCAGAAAGACUGUGAGAACACCCUUUCAUUUGGUAUUUGAGCCCUUCUGCCUCUAUUCCUGGCUUCAGACCAAAGGGAAUAAAUGCAACCGAACAUUUCAGAACCUCGAAAUAGUAAACCGAAAAUGGUUUGCUCUGCUUUUGGUUCUAAAAAUGAUUGACCUGAGAAUUUUUUUUCCAAACUAUCUGCUUGGUCCAUCUCUAGUGUGGAUUACUGGACUUUAGAAACCUGAGGAGGAGAGUAUUUCUUAGAAAAUACAUAAAGAAAAUAUGCAAACAAAAUUUUUAUAAUAAAGGUGCCCAGUUGCUACAACAGAGGUUAGAUUUUACGAGCAUGGUUUAUAUUCCUGAGUAUUUAAAGCAGAAGAGGCUUGGAUGAGAAAGUGGAAAACAUGGGCUUGUAUGGUGAGCCAGUUCAUCACUAGCUUAGUGACCAGGGCAGAUUCCCUAGGCUUUGUCUCCUCUGGGCAAAAUGAAUAGAAAUCAAAAGAAUUAUACUUAUUUUAAUUGAGUCAUUAUGAAGAACAAGGUAUUUCAGAAUACCUUAAAAAUUACAGUGCCAAAGACCAUGUGAAAGUCAGUAAAUCAUAGGGACUACAAGUUUGUAUGUUACCACCAAACACACCUGGUUUCAAAUCUCUGUUCCUCUGCAUUCCAGCUCUGUGACCUGCGUAUGUCACUAAAAACCUCUGAACACUGAUUUCAUCAUCUGUGAAAUGAGGAGAGUGAUGUUGGGAGAAGAAAGUCAAAUGAUGUAAAAUGGUAUUGAUGAUGCCUAUUGUACAUACUCAUAGUUCCAGGUGCCAAUCUAGAGAACCCUCUGAACUAUUUUCCACACAGUUACUUAGUCUUCUGAAUCCCAUUGAGUUGACACAAGAAUGAUGCCCAUGUGUUGGGUGGCUGCGUAGGGGGUCAGUUUACUUGCUUGGAUCCAAAAUAUGGAUUAGGCUCAAUGGGAAUAUCCAAAGGAGAAAGUAGAACACUCUGGCCGGGCUAUGCCAAGUAUAAAGCAAUGCUGAUUUGGGUCAAUUUUUAGCAUCCACUUUUCAAUAGCAAAGAGAGAAAGGUGAAAGGUAAAACUAUAUGCAGGGCCACUUUUUGUGGAAUUAGAACACCAGGACAGAUUUUCUUACAUUAGGGAUAGGAUACUUGUUUUGUGAAAAACAGGUAUUCACUAUAACUAAAUAUACAAUGUCACUGGUAGUUUACUUGAUAUUCCCUACACACAUUAAGGAUAGGAAUUUAGUAAAUAUUUGAUUUGAUUAAAUAUUAAAGUAUCAUAUAAGUCUUCCAAUGAAAACACUGUCUUUAAUCCACCCAGCAGGACUUACUGUUCUGCUACCCCUCUAAGGUGUUUGUUAAAUAGCAUUCUCUCUUCCUCCCUUCAUAGUUAAAGUUUUUGAGUGAAUAAUCCUAUUGGCAGCAUUUCUUCAUGGAUUUGGAAUCCCUACAUUUCUCUCCCUCUGGGUAUUGACACUUCUGGGCACUUGUGACUCCCCAAGGGCCACAUCCAAUGACAGUUUGUAAAUGAGAUUCUCUUUUGCCAUUUUGCAUCUUUUACCUUCUGCAGCACUUUUUUGUCCCCUCCCCCAAUUACAGUGAAUCCUUUUCUGUCGCCUUCAGGUGCUUCCUUGGGAUUCUGUCCUUUAUCGCCUUCUCUUUACCCCAUACCUUAAGCCAACCCUGCCAAUCUACUACUCUAGUUAUCUCCCCUACCCGAAACUCUGGGCCCCCAUAAUGUUCCUCCCAAGCUUGUUAUCUUCACCUGGAUGUCGUCAAGCUUGGUGUCCAAAGUCAAAGCUCAACAACUGUCUCUGUAAGCCGGCUCCCCUCUCCUGCCCCCUUCACUUCAGCCAUUUUGUUUGUAUAUGAAAAUAAACUUCUCCUGGUGGGAAAAAUUCAAACCCUCAGCACUAUCUUGGUCCCAAGGCUCUCGUUUGACCUCAAGUUCCAGGAAAUUCCCAUGUUUAGUUGUGAGCCUGUCAAUUUUAUCUAACUAUGUCUGCCACACUUACAGGGUGGACAGAUGAUGCUUCGAGGGUCUCUGGUUCUCUCUGGGAUGUGUACUCAUGCGUUCUGAAGACAGUUGCUAUAACUCCAGCCAUUUCUUCUGUAUUUUAGACAGGAAAAGGAGAUAGACCACAGAAUCAAAGGGCACUUGCCAAUGCCCAAGGGGCAUCCUUUAAGGGGAGUUUUCUUGAAGGAACUGUUUGAUAAUCUUUGCUUAUAUUGAGUUGACCAGAGCAGAGCUGCAUCAAUCCACCAGGGAGGCAAAGAAAUAUAGUCAAAACAUCUGACCACAGUGCUGCUCCAAUGAGAUAGAACACUAUGGGAAGGGAAGAAAAAGCAGCAUGAGAUUGAGUAGAUGACCAAGGGUCUUUACAAACCCGUUCUCUUUACUUUCCUAUGUUUUCUUAAAAGAAACAACCACUGAAUUUGGAAGGAUAAAAGAGACUACAGUUCUUUCUUUCCCACCCUCAUCAUCUUACUUCAUACUCUUCUUACCUUUUUGCUUAGAUUCUUGCAAAGUUACAUGUAAGUCCCUACUCCACUUUUACUAUUUCCUCGGGUCUCCACGCAUUUAUUAAAGAAGAGAGUGUUGCUGAUGGGCACUGUGCAACAUGCUCAGGAUGAAAGAAACAAUGUCCUUGUUCUUGAUUUGAUCUACACAUUAUAUACCUGUCACAAACAUCACACUGUACCCCAUAAAUAUGCACUAUUAUUAUGUGUCUAUUAAAAUCAAUCAAUCAUCAAUCAAUCCCAUGACCUUUGUUAUGGUACAUAUAGUCCUGUCGGGGAGACCAACAUGCCAGCAACUGGUCCCAGUACACCACAUCACAGGAUGAGAUGGACGUGGACGAAAUGAAUUGAGGAAGCAGAGAGAAAACCAUGGCUACUGGAGCCUGGGAAAGUCUGAGAAGACUCUAUAGAAAAGUGGAUAUUGUCAGCUGAGUUGUGUUUUAGUAAGCAUUUCACAGGCCAACUCAAAGAGAAAUAAUAAGUUUUCUGUGUUUGCAAACUAUUGCCCAUGAAAAACUGAGGGGUGACAUACUUGACCUCACUCCAAAUUUAAUUUUUAAAGAAAGGAAUCAUAAGUAAAAGUAAUUUAAAAUAUAACAUUACAGGGCACAGUAUUGAUAAAUGAGAGGAAAACUGGUUCUUAAAGAGUGUACCACUCACUGACCAUGCCCUGAAAUUAACUGAGAACUCAUUUGUCAAGAGUGUACCUACCCUGAGAAAAUCUUCCAAUUAACAUCAAAAGUGAUCAUUCUUAACCUCUCAUGCAUUAAGAAAUUCUUGUCUGCACCUGAUGUUCUGUUCAUAAUCAAUGGAGCUCUUUAUGUAUGUUAUUUCAAAUUUAUCACCCUGUAUAUUACUAAAAUGAACGAAUUAAUAAAUGAAUCUGCUGUAGGUCCAGAAGCCAGAUUUAUUUGUUGUCUCCUGGUUCUCAUAGGAUUUUCCUUUGGUCUGUAAGUCAUUUCACUCUGCAGUUUCUCACAGUUUCCGAUAUUUAUUGAUAGCUACUGACAGCAUGUGUUGGUACUUACAGACCAAUGGUGUCUAUGUAAGAAAAAUGCUUUUUGGGAGGAUUAGAUCUGUUCUGAAAAAUGUCAGCCAUGUCACUAUCAGACUAUGCUAAGAAGACAAUGCAAAAGUCCUAUCAGUUCUAACUGUAAUAUAUUGUCACAGAAACAUGCCUCAAGAUAAAUUAAGUAAUACUUGAUGCUGUCAUGGUAAUGGGAAGAUUGAUAAGUUUAUAAACUUUGGUUGAGAACAAAUUAGUGCAAUAUUCUUGGUGGCCACUAUCACGAUAUGAGAUUAAGAUAUGUUAGGCUAUAUCCCUAAAUUUGGACCCUUAAUUUCUACCUAUAAGAAUCUACCUAUGAAAAUGAUUAAAAUUUAGAAUAUGAUGUAGAAAAUGGAAGUCAGAGCAUUCAAUAAACUGCAAAAUAUCCAAGAGCUCGAAUAUUAUGUAGUCUAUCAAAAAUUCUGUCUUCAAAUAUUUUUGAUUACAUAAAAAAGUGCCUGUUACAUUCAGUGAUGGACAAGAAGGAAAGUAUUAAGGUCUCAUCCCUCUCUAUGUGGAUAAAUGUCAUUCAUGUUUAUGCAUGCAUAUCUUUCAUGUGAUUUGCACUGGACUGCUAAGAGUUUAAGUGAUUCCUGUUAUCUUCAGGGUUAUCUAAAUUUUAUAACUUUCUACAUCAAGAAGUGUGAGUUUCAUAAUCAGGAACAAAAAAGAAAAUCUUAAAAGGAAAGCUAAACAAAGAUCAUGCAAGAGAGUAGGAAGGGUUUGUUUUUGGCCCUUUUCAUAUGUAAUUGUCUACACUAAUAAUUCUCAGACUUGCAUACCAAGUGAAGUCAAUCUCACUAAGGGUCUCAAUCAAGACUCAGGCUUGAGUGUGUGCUCCAGGCUCUGAGCAUUCCCCCAUCACCCCUCUCCAUCCUGUCCUCCAAAUUUCCAUCCAUUUUUUUUUUCAAGCCAGGAAUGUUCCCAUAUGUCUGUAAUCCCAGCACUUUAGGUGGCUGAGGCUGGAGGAUUGCAUGUUCAAGCCCAGCCUGGGCAAUUUAGUGAAUUGGAAAGACAUUGUUUCAAAAUGUAAUAAAUGAAUGAAUGAAUGAAUGAAUAAUAAAUAAAUGAAUGGGCUGAGGAUGUACCUCAGUGGAAAGGCCCUGUGUUUAAUGCCCAGGAUUGAAAAAAGGAAUUUACUUUUUUACCAAAGCACAGCUAUUGUCAUGUGACUCCCUCCUUGAAGCAUCAUUAUAACUUCCUGACUGCUCGGCGUGCUCAGCGUGGCUCCAGCUCCUGUCCACCGUCUGAUACCUUUUGUAUCGCCUCAUCUUCUGACACUCCAGCCCAGCAGGCGUCUGGUUCCCUUCACGACACGCCUCACUCUGCCCUCCCAGUCACUGUUUCCUCAUGUUUGUUCGUUCUGCUCACCCUUCAAAGCCCUGCUAAAAUUCCUAGAAUGUUCAUUGUGAAUGUUUUCCUCCAUCAUUUCCUCUGUGGACUGUAUUGGUCUCUUUUAUUGCAUUUACCAGGAUUUAACUUGUUUCAUGCUUACUUGUGUCUUUCUCUUCUUGUGUUGUUAGCCCCCCAAAUUAUACCAUCUGUUGUGAUUUUCAGUUGUUAGCAGGUAUUACAGUCAUCUAAGGGUUAAUUAAAACAGAAAUUUGGGGUCCCAUUCCAAGUAUUUCUAAUGCAAUAUACCUGUGGAGGGGCAUAGGAAAGUCCUUUUCCAAUAAGGCCACAGGCGCUGCUGCUACAGUUGGUGACAGAAAACACUUUGAGAACCAUUGCUUUCCAAGGAGGGUGAGAAUGAUGUAAAACAAAUGAGACUCUGCUUUGCUGUGGAAGAUAGAGCACGGAUAGUGAAAUCAUAGGAUUUCAUGCAACUUGGGUUAGAUUUCUGUUCUGUCACUUGAUGUUUGAACAAGUUACUUAACCUUUCUAAGAAACUUAACUUUCUUGCCAGGUAGUUUAGGAACAUUAUUAACUCUUAUAUAAGAAUUUUUUCUGAGGGUUAUAUAGGAUUGCAAAAUACCCAAUAAAUGGUGGCUACUACUAUGAAUCCAUUUAUUCUACAAAAUAACCGUGUAAGAUACGUUUUUGCUCCCAUUGGCCGUACUGUACCCCCAGACAGCUUCUUGGACUUUUAAUUAAAG